GGGUUCUGGAAAGCCACUGCUGGAGACACAGAGCACAUAGGAACUGAUUGCAAGAGACACCACGGACUUCCCACAGCAGAGAGCUCUAGCUGUGCAAAUGUUGAAGAACUUCCUGGUAUCUGAGCAGGCUGAUUUUCCUUCCUUGCAAAGGCAGCAGAUGGAAGGAAACAAACACUUCUCCGCAGAAGAAGUUGAACCAAGGAGUUCUAACAAGCACAGCAUUUUCUUUUUCUCUGUGUCGAAGUGAUUGGAGUCAACAGUGCUCAGAGACCAGGGCUUUCGCUGGGAACUGUUUGGGAGCACUGGGCUUUUUCCCCUAAAAAAAGAGCAACAAUUAAAAAAUUAUAUCCAUAAAGGCCCCUCUCACCAAA